rnacentral:rRNA from 1 species
GACGAACGCUGGUGGCGUGCUUAACACAUGCAAGUCGAACGGAAGGGCCCUGCUUUUGUGGGGUGCUCGAGUGGCGAACGGGUGAGUAACACGUGAGUAACCUGCCCUUGACUUUGGGAUAACUUCAGGAAACUGGGGCUAAUACCGGAUAGGAGCUCCUGCUGCAUGGUGGGGGUUGGAAAGUUUCGGCGGUUGGGGAUGGACUCGCGGCUUAUCAGCUUGUUGGUGGGGUAGUGGCUUACCAAGGCUUUGACGGGUAGCCGGCCUGAGAGGGUGACCGGCCACAUUGGGACUGAGAUACGGCCCAGACUCCUACGGGAGGCAGCAGUGGGGAAUAUUGCACAAUGGGCGGAAGCCUGAUGCAGCAACGCCGCGUGCGGGAUGACGGCCUUCGGGUUGUAAACCGCUUUCGCCUGUGACGAAGCGUGAGUGACGGUAAUGGGUAAAGAAGCACCGGCUAACUACGUG